GAUCAUGGCUCAGGAUGAACGCUAGCUACAGUCUUAACACAUGCAAGUCGAGGGGCAGCAUGGUCUUAGCUUGCUAAGACUGAUGGCGACCGGCGCACGGGUGAGUAACACGUAUCCAACCUGCCGUCCACUCUUGGACAGCCUUCUGAAAGGAAGAUUAAUACAAGAUGGCAUCAUGAGUCCGCAUGUUCACAUGAUUAAAGGUAUUCCGGUAGACGAUGGGG
rnacentral:rRNA from 1 species